GAUAUUUUUCCAUUCGUUUUGGUGGGUGACAGCUGUUUGUUGGUUUGAAGAACGCCAAAGCAGUGGGAAAAUCUCUG
rnacentral:pre_miRNA from 1 species